GUACUCAUUAAUUUAGUACAGAUAAUCGAUAGGAUCGAUACAGAGAAGAUUAGCAAGCUCACUUGCACAAGAAAGCCUACACAUAAUCAUAACAUUUCCACAUUUUC